GGCGAUGUCCGUGGUGCUCGAGCAGAGGCACAAGCGUCACAUAGUAGAUGUUCAGGAAAAGCGGCCAGUCCUCCCGGGAAAGCUCACCAUGGAUUGAACAAAGCCUGCAGUUAAGAUGGACGGGGAGAGGUACCAGGUGGGCCCCCCUGACCUGCUGAGAGAGCCUCCAAAGGUUACUUUUAUGUCGCUAGAUCUAACCUGGCUGGUGAAGGAAGGAGAGAGAACAUCCUGUGGGCAACGGAAGUCCUUGCCGGUACCAGAUGAGAACACAGAAGCACAGAGAGGUGAAGCAACGUGCCCAAGGUCACACAGCCGGUCGGUGGGGAGCAGGAUCCCAGCCCGGGACGAGCGGCUGCAAUCCCUGUGCCGUUAACCCUGCGCAGGUGACCUAGUGCCCCGGGGAAUGUCUCCUGUCCCCAGUCUCUGCAAGGACCAGGCUCCCAGCUCCAGGAUGCCCCGGUCAGCCGCCUCUUCCUCCUCCUUCCUUCCCACCUCCCCCCUCUUCCCCUUCCUCCCCUGCCCCCAUUGUCUGUACCCCCAGCAGAAUAUCAGCUCCACGAGCAAGUGGUCUCGUCCGCCUUAUGUGCAGCCCGAGUCUCACCUUCUAGAAGGGAGCCUGCGUGCCCUGGGCGCUGGAGUUUGCGGCUGACGGGCUCAGCACGCCUGGAGGUUGGGGGAGCUGGAAGGUCUUGGCUCCCCGCUCAGCUAAACCACGUGGCGUGGACAAAUCAUGCAGCUUCCCUGGACCUCAGCUUCUAAUGUUUGCAGAAUCAGGGAAGAAAACACCAACCUGAUGUGAGGGUUUCACUGAAGGCCGCAGCGCCCGGCCCAGCCCAGAGCCGACGGCCGCUCGACUUCUUGGCCCGGGAGUGGCGGGGCCCGGCUCUCCGCCCACCAUGCAGGCAUCCACGCACAUUUAAUUUGAUUUAGGGAGGGAAAUCAUCUCUAUAUUUUGGGUGGUGGUGGCACUAACGAUCUAUUUCCUGCGCAGCGCUCAGUGCCGAGUUGGCAUUAAUGUAGAAAAAUUAGUAUUAUCACGACUGCCUUCGGAGCCAUCUCCUGCACCAGAGUCC
rnacentral:lncRNA from 1 species